rnacentral:lncRNA from 1 species
AGUUCCUUCGUGGCUCAGCAUUUCCGGUUAUUGCCUGACUUGGGGCAUUUCUAUAACUGGAGUUCCAAGGCCUCCUUUCUACAUUCACUUCUGAAUUGGUCGAGCUUGCUCCCCCACCCAUUGGUCUCACCCACUUGUUAGGGCGAUUGUCACCAGCACCUGGUUGGCCGAAUUUGCGUUUGGGAAAAUUUCGCCCAAAGUCAUCGAGUCCUUCCGCUGCUUUUAUAGCUGAUUCAUAGUCGUCGACCUUCUGAGCAUUUAGCUUAUCCUUAGCCCAUGGUUGUAGUCCUUCUAGGAAAAAGUACAACCGAUCGUCGCUCCCCAUAGUUUUGAUAUCCAGCAUGCAUUGGGU